rnacentral:lncRNA from 1 species
CUAGCAAAAAAGCCCGUGCGUUGCAACGGAAGAGAAAAUAACACACGCUUUGAACGUAAUAUAUUAGCACAUUUGUGUUGUCGACGAUGGCCUCAGUGCUCACACAACGAAAACGCGUUUGAAUGUACAAUCACUCGGAAUAAGAUGAGAAAUAUGUUGUUUCUCCCCACGAGAUUUUCCAAAGGUGUGCAUGUGUGGU